GCCUAACUGGCUUAGUCAGUGGAGCAAUGUGACUCUUGAUCUUGGGGUCAUGGGUUCAAGUCCCACGUUGGGUG
rnacentral:tRNA from 1 species